rnacentral:rRNA from 1 species
UACGUAGGGGGCAAGCGUUGUCCGGAUUUAUUGGGCGUAAAGAGCGUGUAGGCGGUUAGGUAGGUCCGUUGUGAAAACUCGAGGCUCAACCUCGAGACGCCGAUGGAAACCAUCUGACUAGAGUCCGGAAGAGGAGAGUGGAAUUCCUGGUGUAGCGGUGAAAUGCGCAGAUAUCAGGAGGAACACCGAUUGCGAAGGCAGCUCGCUGGGACGUCACUGACGCUGAGACGCGAAAGCGUGGGGAGCAAACAGG